rnacentral:rRNA from 1 species
ACUGUUUGGACGAGGGGCCCCUCUCGGGUUACCGAAUUCAGACAAACUCCGAAUGCCAAUUAAUUUAACUUGGGAGUCAGAACAUGGGUGAUAAGGUCCGUGUUCGAAAGGGAAACAGCCCAGACCACCAGCUAAGGUCCCAAAAUAUAUGUUAAGUGGAAAAGGAUGUGGCGUUGCCCAGACAACUAGGAUGUUGGCUUAGAAGCAGCCAUCAUUUAAAGAGUGCGUAAUAGCUCACUAGUCGAGUGACACUGCGCCGAAAAUGUACCGGGGCUAAACAUAUUACCGAAGCUGUGGAUUGUCCUUUGGACAAUGGUAGGAGAGCGUUCUAAGGGCGUUGAAGCAUGAUCGUAAGGACAUGUGGAGCGCUUAGAAGUGAGAAUGCCGGUGUGAGUAGCGAAAGACGGGUGAGAAUCCCGUCCACCGAUUGACUAAGGUUUCCAGAGGAAGGCUCGUCCGCUCUGGGUUAGUCGGGUCCUAAGCUGAGGCCGACAGGCGUAGGCGAUGGAUAACAGGUUGAUAUUCCUGUACCACCUAUAAUCGUUUUAAUCGAUGGGGGGACGCAGUAGGAUAGGCGAAGCGUGCGAUUGGAUUGCACGUCUAAGCAGUAAGGCUGAGUAUUAGGCAAAUCCGGUACUCAUUAAGGCUGAGCUGUGAUGGGGAGAAGACAUUGUGUCUUCGAGUCGUUGAUUUCACACUGCCGAGAAAAGCCUCUAGAUAGAAAAUAGGUGCCCGUACCGCAAACCGACACAGGUAGUCAAGAUGAGAAUUCUAAGGUGAGCGAGCGAACUCUCGUUAAGGAACUCGGCAAAAUGACCCCGUAACUUCGGGAGAAGGGGUGCUCUUUAGGGUUAACGCCCAGAAGAGCCGCAGUGAAUAGGCCCAAGCGACUGUUUAUCAAAAACACAGGUCUCUGCUAAACCGUAAGGUGAUGUAUAGGGGCUGACGCCUGCCCGGUGCUGGAAGGUUAAGAGGAGUGGUUAGCUUCUGCGAAGCUACGAAUCGAAGCCCCAGUAAACGGCGGCCGUAACUAUAACGGUCCUAAGGUAGCGAAAUUCCUUGUCGGGUAAGUUCCGACCCGCACGAAAGGCGUAACGAUUUGGGCACUGUCUCAACGAGAGACUCGGUGAAAUCAUAGUACCUGUGAAGAUGCAGGUUACCCGCGACAGGACGGAAAGACCCCGUGGAGCUUUACUGUAGCCUGAUAUUGAAAUUCGGCACAGCUUGUACAGGAUAGGUAGGAGCCUUUGAAACGUGAGCGCUAGCUUACGUGGAGGCGCUGGUGGGAUACUACCCUAGCUGUGUUGGCUUUCUAACCCGCACCACUUAUCGUGGUGGGAGACAGUGUCAGGCGGGCAGUUUGACUGGGGCGGUCGCCUCCUAAAAGGUAACGGAGGCGCUCAAAGGUUCCCUCAGAAUGGUUGGAAAUCAUUCAUAGAGUGUAAAGGCAUAAGGGAGCUUGACUGCGAGACCUACAAGUCGAGCAGGGUCGAAAGACGGACUUAGUGAUCCGGUGGUUCCGCAUGGAAGGGCCAUCGCUCAACGGAUAAAAGCUACCCCGGGGAUAACAGGCUUAUCUCCCCCAAGAGUUCACAUCGACGGGGAGGUUUGGCACCUCGAUGUCGGCUCAUCGCAUCCUGGGGCUGUAGUCGGUCCCAAGGGUUGGGCUGUUCGCCCAUUAAAGCGGUACGCGAGCUGGGUUCAGAACGUCGUGAGACAGUUCGGUCCCUAUCCGUCGUGGGCGUAGGAAAUUUGAGAGGAGCUGUCCUUAGUACGAGAGGACCGGGAUGGACAUACCUCUGGUGUACCAGUUGUCGUGCCAACGGCAUAGCUGGGUAGCUAUGUGUGGACGGGAUAAGUGCUGAAAGCAUCUAAGCAUGAAGCCCCCCUCAAGAUGAGAUUUCCCAACUUCGGUUAUAAGAUCCCUCAAAGAUGAUGAGGUUAAUAGGUUCGAGGUGGAAGCAUGGUGACAUGUGGAGCUGACGAAUACUAA